UUCCGGGGUUGGAUCCUGCCGGAGGUCACUGCUAUCGGGGUUCGACUAAGCCAUGCAAGUCGAGAGGGGUAAAGCCCUCGGCGAACUGCUCAGUAACACGUGGAUAACCUGACCUAGGGUGGAGGAUAACCCCGGGAAACUGGGGAUAAUACUCCAUAGGCUACGGAAGCUGGAAUGCUCUGUAACCGAAAGCUCCGGCGCCCUAGGAUGGGUCUGCGGCCGAUUAGGUUGUUGUUGGGGUAACGGCCCAACAAGCCGAUCAUCGGUACGGGUUGUGGGAGCAAGAGCCCGGAGAUGGAUUCUGAGACAUGAAUCCAGGCCCUACGGGGCGCAGCAGGCGCGAAAGCUUUACAAUGCGGGAAACCGUGAUAAGGGGACCCCGAGUGCCUGUACACGCAGGCUGUUCAGGUGUUUAAAACGCAUCUGGAGAAAGGGCCGGGCAAGACCGGUGCCAGCCGCCGCGGUAAUACCGGCGGCUCGAGUGGUGGCCACUAUUACUGGGCUUAAAGCGUCCGUAGCCGGGUUGUUAAGUCUCCUGGGAAAUCCAACGGCUCAACCGUUGGGCGUUCAGGGGAUACUGGCAAUCUAGGGAUCGGGGGAGGUGAGAGGUACUCUAGGGGUAGGAGUGAAAUCCUGUAAUCCUUGGGGGACCACCUGUGGCGAAGGCGUCUCACCAGAACGACUCCGACGGUGAGGGACGAAAGCUGGGGGAGCAAACCGGAUUAGAUACCCGGGUAGUCCCAGCUGUAAACGAUGCGCGUUAGGUGUAUCGGUGACUACGAGUUACCGAGGUGCCGAAGGGAAACCGUGAAACGUGCCGCCUGGGAAGUACGGUCGCAAGGCUGAAACUUAAAGGAAUUGGCGGGGGAGCACCACAACGGGUGGAGCCUGCGGUUUAAUUGGAUUCAACGCCGGG
rnacentral:rRNA from 1 species